rnacentral:rRNA from 1 species
CGCGGCCUAUCAGCUUGUUGGUGGGGUAAUGGCCUACCAAGGCGACGACGGGUAGCCGGCCUGAGAGGGUGAUCGGCCACACUGGGACUGAGACACGGCCCAGACUCCUACGGGAGGCAGCAGUGGGGAAUAUUGCACAAUGGGCGAAAGCCUGACGCAGCCACGCCGCGUGAGGGAUGAAGGCUUUCGGGUCGUAAACCUCUUUCAGCAGGGACGAAAAUGACGGUACCUGCAGAAGAAGCACCGGCCAACUACGUGCCAGCAGCCGCGGUAAUACGUAGGGUGCAAGCGUUGUCCGGAAUUACUGGGCGUAAAGAGCUCGUAGGCGGUUUGUCACGUCGUCUGUGAAAUCCUCCAGCUCAACUGGGGGCGUGCAGGCGAUACGGGCAGACUUGAGUACUACAGGGGAGACUGGAAUUCCUGGUGUAGCGGUGAAAUGCGCAGAUAUCAGGAGGAACACCGGUGGCGAAGGCGGGUCUCUGGGUAGUAACUGACGCUGAGGAGCGAAAGCAUGGGGAGCAAACAGGAUUAGAUACCCUGGUAGUCCAUGCCGUAAACGGUGGGCGCUAGGUGUGGGGUCCUUCCACGGAUUCCGUGCCGUAGCUAACGCAUUAAGCGCCCCGCCUGGGGAGUACGGA